GACCCCGUAGCUCAGCGGAUUAGAGCAGCACCCUUCGAAGGUGUUGGUCGGGCGUUCGAAUCGCCCCGGGGUCGCCG
rnacentral:tRNA from 1 species